rnacentral:rRNA from 1 species
CCUACGGGAGGCAGCAGUAAGGAAUCUUCCACAAUGGACGAAAGUCUGAUGGAGCAACGCCGCGUGCAGGAUGAAGGCUUUCGGGUCGUAAACUGCUUUUAUAUGGGAAGAUUAUGACGGUACCAUAUGAAUAAGGACCGGCUAACUACGUGCCAGCAGCCGCGGUAAUACGUAGGGUCCAAGCGAUAUCCGGAAUUACUGGGCGUAAAGCGUGUGUAGGUGGAUUAAUAAGUGUGAUGCGAAAUCCGGCGGCUCAACCGUUUGGACUGUGUCGCAUACUGUUAGUCUAGAGGACGGCAGAGGUAAGUGGAAUUACGGGUGUAGCAGUGAAAUGCGUAGAUAUCCGUAGGAACACCAAUGGCGAAGGCAGCUUACUGGGCCACACCUGACACUGAGACACGAAAGCGUGGGGAGCGAACAGGAUUAGAUACCCUGGUAGUCCACGCCGUAAACGAUGCAUACUAUUAGUAUGGGGUAUCGACCCCCUGUGCUGAGAAGCUAACGCGAUAAGUAUGCCGCCUGGGGAGUACGAGCGCAAGCUUAAAACUAAUGAAUUGACG